rnacentral:rRNA from 1 species
GACGGAGGGGGCUAGCGUUGUUCGGAAUUACUGGGCGUAAAGCGCACGUAGGCGGCCUUUCAAGUCAGAUGUGAAAGCCCCGGGCUUAACCCGGGAAUUGCAUUUGAUACUGUUGGGCUUGAGACCGGGAGAGGAUAGCGGAAUUCCCAGUGUAGAGGUGAAAUUCGUAGAUAUUGGGAAGAACACCAGUGGCGAAGGCGGCUAUCUGGACCGGUACUGACGCUGAGGUGCGAAAGCGUGGGGAGCAAACAGG